rnacentral:rRNA from 1 species
CCUACGGGAGGCUGCAGUGAGGAAUAUUGGUCAAUGGACGAGAGUCUGAACCAGCCAAGUAGCGUGAAGGAUGACUGCCCUAUGGGUUGUAAACUUCUUUUAUAUGGGAAUAAAACGUUCCACGUGUGGGAUUUUGUAUGUACCAUAUGAAUAAGGAUCGGCUAACUCCGUGCCAGCAGCCGCGGUAAUACGGAGGAUCCGAGCGUUAUCCGGAUUUAUUGGGUUUAAAGGGAGCGUAGGUGGAUUGUUAAGUCAGUUGUGAAAGUUUGCGGCUCAACCGUAAAAUUGCAGUUGAAACUGGCAGUCUUGAGUACAGUAGAGGUGGGCGGAAUUCGUGGUGUAGCGGUGAAAUGCUUAGAUAUCACGAAGAACUCCGAUUGCGAAGGCAGUUCACUGGACUGCAACUGACACUGAGGCUCGAAAGUGUGGGUAUCAAACAGGAUUAGAUACCCCAGUAGUG